rnacentral:rRNA from 1 species
GUCAUGGCUCAGAACGAACGCUGGCGACAGGCUUAACACAUGCAAGUUGAACGGGAUUGUUAAGUAGCUUGCUAUUUAACAAGAGAGUAGCGCACUGGUGAGUAACACGUGGGAACGUACCUUUUGGUGGGGGACAACAUCUGGAAACGGAUGCUAAUACCGCAUAAGACCUGAGGGUGAAAGAUUUAUCGCCGAAAGAACGGCCCGCGGAAGAUUAGGCAGUUGGUGGGGUAAAGGCCUACCAAACCUACGAUCUAUAG